UGCUGUAUCGUCUAAUGGUAGGACAACAGAUUCUGAUUCUGUUUAUCUAGGUUCGAGUCCUGGUACAGCAGCCA
rnacentral:tRNA from 2 species